rnacentral:rRNA from 1 species
AGACGUAGGAUGCAAGCGUUGUCCGGAAUUAUUGGGCGUAAAGAGUUCGUAGGUGGCAUAUCAAGUCUGAUGUUAAAGACUGGAGCUCAACUCCAGGUUGGCGUUGGAAACUGAUAAGCUAGAGUACAGGAGAGGCAAGAGGAAUUCCCAGUGUAGCGGUGAAAUGCGUAGAUAUUGGGAGGAACACCAGUGGCGUAAGCGUCUUGCUGGACUGUAACUGACACUGAGGAACGAAAGCCAGGGUAGCAAAUGGGAUUAGAUACCCCGGUAGUCC